UUCUCGUAUAACAGAAAAAAA
rnacentral:piRNA from 1 species